AUUGAACGCUGGCGGCAUGCCUUACACACGCAAGUCGAACGGCAGCACGGGUGCUUGCACCUGGUGGCGAGUGGCGAACGGGUGAGUAAUGUAUCGGAACGUACCUUUCAGUGGGGGAUAACUAUCCGAAAGGAUAGCUAAUACCGCAUAUUCUGUGAGCAGGAAAGCAGGGGAUCGCAAGACCUUGCGCUGAUUGAGCGGCCGAUAUCAGAUUAGCUAGUUGGUGGGGUAAAGGCCUACCAAGGCUACGAUCUGUAGCGGGUCUGAGAGGAUGAUCCGCCACACUGGAACUGAGACACGGUCCAGACUCCUACGGGAGGCAGCAGUGGGGAAUUUUGGACAAUGGGGGCAACCCUGAUCCAGCCAUGCCGCGUGAGUGAAGAAGGCCUUCGGGUUGUAAAGCUCUUUCGUCCGGGAAGAAAUCGCAUCAGCUAAUACCUGGUGUGGAUGACGGUACCGGAAUAAGAAGCACCGGCUAACUACGUGCCAGCAGCCGCCGUAAAAC
rnacentral:rRNA from 1 species